rnacentral:rRNA from 1 species
UACAGAGGGUGCAAGCGUUGUUCGGAAUUAUUGGGCGUAAAGCGCGUGUAGGCGGCUUGGCAAGUCGGGUGUGAAAUCCCUCAGCUCAACUGAGGAAGUGCGCCCGAAACUGCUUUGCUUGAGUGCCGGAGAGGAUGGCGGAAUUCCCCAAGUAGAGGUGAAAUUCGUAGAUAUGGGGAGGAACACCGGUGGCGAAGGCGGCCAUCUGGACGGUUACUGACGCUGAGACGCGAAAGCGUGGGGAGCAAACAGGAUUAGAAACCCCAGUAGUCC